UAAGAAACAUUUUCCAAGGAAUUUGAAUCCAAAUUGUUUCACUGAAGAACAAUUAGUACAGUUACAGGGCAUGUUGUAAGAAUACAAGAACAGAGAUGUGAAGACUAAAUUCUACUUGGACUCAGACUUCUCUAUCUCUGACUUUGAGGAUUUAUAAUGACAGAGAAGGCAAGUCACUUUAGCCAUCUGAGACUUCAAUUCCUUCUAGGAAAGUGAAAAUACCCUGGCUCCCAGAAGCAGAUAAGAAUAACAACCAAGUGAUACUCAAAGGUUAUUUCUUCAGUGAAGACUGCGUAUCUGAAGUAGUGUCAAUUUCAUUAAUUCAACAAAGAUCCAGAUGCUUAAACUAGAUUACUGGUCUGGAUACGUGAACUAGAUGCUUACACUGGAAAUGGAAUUAAAAUA